GACGAACGCUGGCGGCGUGCCUAAUACAUGCAAGUUGAGCGCUGAAGGUUGGUACUUGUACCAACUGGAUGAGCAGCGAACGGGUGAGUAACGCGUGGGGAAUCUGCCUUUGAGCGGGGGACAACAUUUGGAAACGAAUGCUAAUACCGCAUAAAAACUUUAAACACAAGUUUUAAGUUUGAAAGAUGCAAUUGCAUCACUCAAAGAUGAUCCCGCGUUGUAUUAGCUAGUUGGUGAGGUAAAGGCUCACCAAGGCGAUGAUACAUAGCCGACCUGAGAGGGUGGUCGGCCACAAUGGGAAUGGGACACGGCCCAAAAUCCUACGGGAGGCAGCAGUAGGGAAUCUUCGGCAAUGGACGAAAGUCUGACCGAGCAACGCCGCGUGAGUGAAGAAGGUUGUCGGAUCGUAAAACUCUGUUGGUAGAGAAGAACGUUGGUGAGAGUGGAAAGCUCAUCAAGUGACGGUAACUACCCAGAAAGGGACGGCUAACUACGUG
rnacentral:rRNA from 1 species